CGGCACGGGUGAGUAACACGUAUGCAACCUGCCUGCCACAGCCGGAUAAUCGGGAGAAAUUCCGUCUAAUACGGCAUAAUGCAUCGACGGGACAUCCUGUUGGUGCCAAAGGUUGAUUCCGGUGGCGGAUGGGCAUGCGUCGCAUUAGUUAGUUGGCGGUGUAACGGACCACCAAGACGACGAUGCGUAGGGGUUCUGAGAGGAAGGUCCCCCACACUGGUACCGAGACACGGACCAGACUCCUACGGAAGGCAGCAG
rnacentral:rRNA from 1 species